UACGUAGGGGGCUAGCGUUGUCCGGAAUCAUUGGGCGUAAAGAGCGUGUAGGCGGUCCGGUAAGUCCGCUGUGAAAGUCGGGGGCUCAACCCUCGAAUGCCGGUGGAUACUGUCGGGCUAGAGUGCGGAAGAGGCGAGUGGAAUUCCUGGUGUAGCGGUGAAAUGCGCAGAUAUCAGGAGGAACACCUAUUGCGAAGGCAGCUCGCUGGGACGUUACUGACGCUGAGGCGCGAAAGCCAGGGGAGCGAACGGG
rnacentral:rRNA from 1 species